rnacentral:lncRNA from 1 species
UUUGGACUUUUCCACUUUCCUUCAGGUCCUUCGAUAUUCACAUCGGGACAUUCAACAUCCACUUUCGGUCCUGAGACAUCAAUGUCAGCCUUGGGCAGCUUCACAUCCCCAUCUGGGCCCUCUCCUUUGAAGCCAGGCAUGCUGAACUUUGGCAUUUUCACCUUGGGCAUCUUCAGGUGCCAGUCUGGGCCUUGAACACCCACAUCUGGGGCAUUAAUAUCCACUUUGGGCCCCUUGAUGUCAACUUCGGGGCCCUUGAGGUCACCUUCCAC